rnacentral:rRNA from 1 species
GGCGAACGGGUGAGUAACACGUGGGUAACCUGCCCAUCAGAAGGGGAUAACACUUGGAAACAGGUGCUAAUACCGUAUAACAAUCGAAACCGCAUGGUUUUGAUUUGAAAGGCGCUUUCGGGUGUCGCUGAUGGAUGGACCCGCGGUGCAUUAGCUAGUUGGUGAGGUAACGGCUCACCAAGGCGACGAUGCAUAGCCGACCUGAGAGGGUGAUCGGCCACAUUGGGACUGAGACACGGCCCAAACUCCUACGGGAGGCAGCAGUAGGGAAUCUUCGGCAAUGGACGAAAGUCUGACCGAGCAACGCCGCGUGAGUGAAGAAGGUUUUCGGAUCGUAAAACUCUGUUGUUAGAGAAGAACAAGGAUGAGAGUAACUGUUCAUCCCUUGACGGUAUCUAACCAGAAAGCCACGGCUAACUACGUGCCAGCAGCCGCGGUAAUACGUAGGUGGCAAGCGUUGUCCGGAUUUAUUGGGCGUAAAGCGAGCGCAGGCGGUUUAUUAAGUAUGAUGUGAAAGCCCCCGGCUCAACCGGGGAGGGUCAUUGGAAACUGGGAGACUUGAGUGCAGAAGAGGAGAGUGGAAUUCCAUGUGUAGCGGUGACAUGCGUAGAGAUAUGGAGGCACACCAGUGGCGAAGGCGGCGCGAUGGGCUUGAACUGACGCUGAGGCGCGAAAGCGUGGGGAGCAAACAGGAUGAGA